UUAGAGUUUGAUCCAUGGCUCAGAUUGAACGCUGGCGGCAGGCUUAACACAUGCAAGUCGAGCGGUAACAGAUCCAGCUUGCUGGAUGCUGACGAGCGGCGGACGGGUGAGUAAUGCUUAGGAAUCUGCCCAGUAGUGGGGGAUAGCCCGGGGAAACCCGGAUUAAUACCGCAUACGUCCUACGGGAGAAAGCAGGGGAUCUUCGGACCUUGCGCUAUUGGAUGAGCCUAAGUCGGAUUAGCUAGUUGGUGGGGUAAGAGCCUACCAAGGCCACGAUCCGUAGCUGGUUUGAGAGGAUGAUCAGCCACAUCGGGACUGAGACACGGCCCGAACUCCUACGGGAGGCAGCAGUGGGGAAUAUUGGACAAUGGGGGCAACCCUGAUCCAGCCAUGCCGCGUGUGUGAAGAAGGCUUUCGGGUUGUAAAGCACUUUCAGUGAGGAGGAAAACCUUUGGGUUAAUAACCCCGAGGCUUGACGUAACUCACAGAAGAAGCACCGGCAA
rnacentral:rRNA from 1 species